UACGAAGGGGGCUAGCGUUGCUCGGAAUUACUGGGCGUAAAGGGAGCGUAGGCGGAUAGUUUAGUCAGAGGUGAAAGCCCAGGGCUCAACCUUGGAAUUGCCUUUGAUACUGGCUAUCUUGAGUAUGGGAGAGGUGUGUGGAACUCCGAGUGUAGAGGUGAAAUUCGUAGAUAGUGGGAAGAACACCGGUGGCGAAGGCGGCGAGCUGGUCCAUUACUGACGCUGAGGCGCGAAAGCGUGGGGAGCAAACAGG
rnacentral:rRNA from 1 species